rnacentral:rRNA from 1 species
GACGAACGCUGGCGGCGUGCUUAACACAUGCAAGUCGAACGGAAAGGCCCUGCUUUUGUGGGGUGCUCGAGUGGAGAACGGGUGAGUAACACGUGAGUAACCUGCCCUUGACUGUGGGAUAACUUCAGGAAACUGGGGCUAAUACCGGAGAGGAGCUCUUGCUGCAUGGUGGGGGUUGGAAAGUUUCGGCGGUGGUGGAUGGACUCGGGGCUUAUCAGCUUGUUGGUGGGGUAGUGGCUUACCAAGGGUUUGACGGGUAGCCGGCCUGAGGGGGUGACCGGCCACAUUGGGACUGAGAUACGGCCCAGACUCCUACGGGAGGCAGCAGUGGGGAAUAUUGCACAAUGGGCGGAAGCCUGAUGCAGCAACGCCGCGUGCGGGAAGACGGCCUUCGGGUUGUAAACCGCUUUCGCCUGUGACGAAGCGUGAGUGACGGUAAUGGGUAAAGAAGCACCGGCUAACUACGUGCCAGCAGCCGCCGUAA